rnacentral:tRNA from 2 species
GGGGCUGUAGCUCAGCUGGGAGAGCGCCUCGUUCGCAACGAGGAGGCCACCGGUUCGAUCCCGGUCAGCUCCACCA